UACGUAGGGUGCAAGCGUUAAUCGGAAUUACUGGGCGUAAAGCGUGCGCAGGCGGUAAUGUAAGACAGGUGUGAAAUCCCCGGGCUUAACCUGGGAACUGCAUUUGUGACUGCAUUGCUGGAGUGCGGCAGAGGGGGAUGGAAUUCCGCGUGUAGCAGUGAAAUGCGUAGAUAUGCGGAGGAACACCGAUGGCGAAGGCAAUCCCCUGGGCCUGCACUGACGCUCAUGCACGACAGCGUGGGGAUCAAACAGG
rnacentral:rRNA from 1 species